GCGCAGGACGGGGCGGGCGCGCGGCGGCGCGGGCUGCCGGAGUCGCGGGACGGCGCGGCCGCAAACCUCCCCCGCUCCCACACGGGCGCGCCACACCGCCCUGGACACCAGCACUCCCUGACACCAGCACCGCCCUGGGCACCAGCACUCCCCAUGACACCAACACCCCCAUGACACCAGCACCGCCCUUGACACCAGCACCCCUUUGACACCAACACCGCCCUGGGCACCAGCACUCCCUGACACCAGCACCGCCCUGGACACCAGCACCGCCCUGGACACCAACACCGCCCUGGACACCAGCACCACCCUUGACAGCAGCACCGCCCUGGACACCAGCACCCCCUUGACAUCAGCACCGCCCUGGACACCAGCACCGCCAUGACACCAACAUCGACCUUGACACCAGCACUCCCCAUGACACCAGCACCCCCUUGACACCAACACCACCCUGGACACCAGCACCACCCUUGACACCAGCACCCCCUUGACACCAGCACCCCAUGACACCUCGCCCCGUCCCCACCCCUGCCACGGCCCGCGUCGUGGUGGCUGGGACACGUCCUCAGGAGGCGGCCGAGGCUCGGGAGAAGGCUCCAGGCGAGAGCCCGGCGAGGGCAGCUCCCAGGGGGCCUUCCACACCAACAGGAUGGCUCCUUGCAGUAGGCGACGAAAGUCUACGAGGUGCAGCUCUGGCUUCAGACCCACGUGGCUAACCCUCUCUCUCUCCUGCCAAAAUGUAUGCCACCGCCUCCUUGUUGCACGCCGUCUUAGACGUCCUCUGCAAAUCUGGAAUCACCUUUUCCAUCCUGAGGUCAUCCCCACUGCUGCCGUCAGAGCAGCCGACGGCCCCGCUUGAGCUCUGGCCAUAAGCAACUCCUCCUCCUCGGGGCUCACCGGGGCUGGGGCAAGCAGCCGCCCGGGCCGAGCUGCAGCCACGCCGCCACGCUUCCCUCGAGCAGCACCGGCCACGCCAUCAGUAGCUACACGGGGAGAGGACACUGAUUCCGCAGCAGUCAUUAAUGAGACUUCUGCACGCACCGCCUGGCAGACAAAAUGUCCGUAACGAAGCUAAGCAGCUAUGACUCAGUUGCCUCGCGUACUACCGAGGGGAGGAAGAGGAAAGUCACAUUGUGUUGGAGCAUAGACGUGCAUUGCACUAACCAGAUGCCCAGUACAUUCAGCUUCCUCCCUGCCAAGGCUUCAUGUGGGCAGUGCACCGAGCGCUGCAAAGGAUAGCGAUUACGAGUCAUUUCACACCCUAAUCUUUCCUUGUGCCUUUGACUAUUUUUUCAAUGCCGUCUUAAUGGCGUGAUUAGCCCCUUGGCCCCGUCUGUUUGCUUUUUGAGUCAUAUGGGGUAUGCAAGCGGCGAUUUAUGCCAAAAAGCAGUCGUGCUCUGUGCACGACUCUCGUAUCUUGCUCUGAGUCCGUGUCUUUGGGUGUACCGCUCCUUGGAAACACCCGUCCCAGCAACGCUGCACUGGCUGGACGGGCGGUACAACCUGCAGUGGGUAAGCCUGCAGCCCAUUUGGGGAAAGGUCCAGCAACAAUUCAUGCCUGGUUAUUCCCCGUGCCUGGCUGGGGCCUCAGCUAAUUGGGUGCAUUAUUGCCCUUGGAUUCAUUGAUGUCCCAGGGGUUUUUUCUUCCCCCCUGCCCUCCUGCCUACAUUCCCCACGUCAGCAUCCGGGGUUUGCGCUAGUCGCCACCUCCAUCACGACAACCUUCCCUUUGUUCUUGCUAGACCUCAGUGACCUCCCUUAUCCCAGGCUAGAGCCAUAAACGCAGCCCUCCACAGCUCCGGCAUUAACCACUACGCUUCUGGUCUGGUGAUAGACUUCUUCCACAAGUGCUUUAACACCAUCCCACUCGGGCAGGCAGUUAGCAAACUCCGCUAGGCUGGGAUAUUGUUCGGGGGGGGGAUGCCUCUUCUUUUAUACGGAUGCUCUACUCGCUUUUCCAGUUGUUUUGCUGUCCUGUUUGCUCUCCUGUUUCAUAAAUUCUCCUGUAAUCUCA